rnacentral:rRNA from 1 species
CCUACGGGCGGCAGCAGUGAGGAAUAUUGGUCAAUGGACGCAAGUCUGAACCAGCCAUGCAGCGUGCAGGAAGACGGCUCUAUGAGUUGUAAACUGCUUUUGUACGAGGGUAAAUCCCGAUACGUGUAUCGGGUUGAAAGUAUCGUACGAAUAAGGAUCGGCUACCUCCGUGCCAGCAGCCGCGGUAAUACGGAGGAUUCAAGCGUUAUCCGGAUUUAUUGGGUUUAAAGGGUGCGUAGGCGGUUCGAUAAGUUAGAGGUGAAAGCCCGGGGCUCAACUCCGGCACUGCCUCUGAUACGGUCGGGCUAGAGUUUAGUUGCGGUAGGCGGAAUGUAUGGUGUAGCGGUGAAAUGCAUAGAGAUCAUACAGAACACCGAUUGCGAAGGCAGCUUACCAAACUACGACUGACGUUGAGGCACGAAAGCGUGGGGAGCAAACAGGAUUAGAUACCCGAGUAGUC